GGGAUUGCCCUAGUAACGGCGAGUGAAGCGGCAACAGCUCAAAUUUGAAAUCUGGCGCAAGCCCGAGUUGUAAUUUGUAGAGGAUGCUUCUGGGUAGCGACCGGUCUAAGUUCCUUGGAACAGGACGUCAUAGAGGGUGAGAAUCCCGUAUGUGACCGGCCCGCACCCUUUACGUAGCUCCUUCGACGAGUCGAGUUGUUUGGGAAUGCAGCUCUAAAUGGGAGGUAAAUUUCUUCUAAAGCUAAAUACCGGCCAGAGACCGAUAGCGCACAAGUAGAGUGAUCGAAAGAUGAAAAGUACUUUGGAAAGAGAGUUAAAAAGCACGUGAAAUUGUUGAAAGGGAAGCGCCUGCAAUCAGACUUCGCGGCAGUGUUCCGCCGGCCUUCUGGCCGGUUCAUUCUCUGUCGCGAGGCCAUCAUCGUCUCGGCCCGCUGGAUAAGACCUUGGGAAUGUAGCUCACCUUCGGGGGAGUGUUAUAGCUCAUGGUGAUGCAGCGAGGCUGGGGCGAGGUCCGCGCUUCGGCAAGGAUGAUGGCGUAAUGGUUGUCGGCGGCCCGUCUUGAAACACGGACCAAGGAGUCUAACAUCUAUGCGAGUGUUCGGGUGUCAAACCCCUACGCGUAAUGAAAGUGAACGGAGGUGGGAACCGCAAGGCGCACCAUCGACCGAUCCUGAUGUCCUCGGAUGGAUUUGAGUAAGAGCAUAGCUGUUGGGACCCGAAAGAUGGUGAACUAUGCCUGAAUAGGGUGAAGCCAGAGGAAACUCUGGUGGAGGCUCGCAGCGGUUCUGACGUGCAAAUCGAUCGUCAAAUUUGGGUAUAGGGGCG
rnacentral:rRNA from 1 species